rnacentral:rRNA from 1 species
AUGUGUCACGCUCGCAGCCCACCACGGGGGAGUGCGACCCCAGCAGACCAACACCAGCAUGUCCACCACCACUGUGUCCAAGCUCAAACUCACGCGCUCGGUGUAGAUGAGGGUCCAACAACUGAUGACCAGGCAGGGGAGAUAGGUGUUUGCGCAUGUCGUGUGAACAGCAUGAGGCCCCCAGAGUAUGCGAGAAUAGUUAAUAAUGAGAUCAUCAUUUUAGAAAAUGAUGCGGAACUGGGUAGUGAUAUUGAUCCGAAAGAAGCUCAAAAGGCACUUGAAAUAGCUAUAUACCCGGGACAUUGUCAUUUGGGAGCAUCAACAACACCACUAGUUCAGUAA